UACAGAGGUCCCGAGCGUUGUUCGGAUUCACUGGGCGUAAAGGGUGCGUAGGUGGUCGGGUAAGUCGGAUGUGAAAUCUCGGAGCUUAACUCCGAAACUGCAUUCGAUACUGCCGUGCUUGAGGACUGGAGAGGAGACUGGAAUUUACGGUGUAGCGGUGAAAUGCGUAGAUAUCAGGAGGAACACCGGUGGCGAAGGCGGGUCUCUGGGCCGAUACUGACGCUGAGGAGCGAAAGCGUGGGGAGCGAACAGG
rnacentral:rRNA from 1 species